GCGCCGGUAGCUCAGUUGGCAAAGCAUUGGGACCGUUCUCCAAGGUUCCGGGUUCAAGUCCCGACCGGCACU